GCCCGGGUGGCGGAACGGUAUACGCGCAACACUUAAAAUGUUGUGUCGAAAGACAUGUGGGUUCGAAUCCCACCUCGGGCA
rnacentral:tRNA from 1 species